CGUCAGGCAUGUGUGGAAUAUGGUUUCUUUUACCUUGUAAAUCAUGGAGUGGAGGAAGAGUUGCUCGCUCGAGUUUUUGAAGAGUCUCGGAAAUUCUUCUCUCUCCCUUUAGCUGCGAAGAUGAAUUUGCUUCGCAAGGAACACAGGGGUUACACCCCAUUGUAUGCUGAGAAUCUCGAUCCUUCUUCCAGUUCUAAAGGUGACUCAAAGGAAAGCUUCUAUAUUGGUCCUUUAGAAAAGAGUUGCCUCAACCAGUGGCCCUCACAAGAACUUCUC
rnacentral:misc_RNA from 1 species